rnacentral:piRNA from 2 species
UUUCACAGAUGAGGAAACUGAAGCUUAGG